rnacentral:rRNA from 1 species
AGCAGCCGCGGUAAUUCCAGCUCCAAUAGCGUAUAUUAAAGUUGUUGCAGUUAAAAAGCUCGUAGUUGAAUUUCGGGAUCAAUGUUUCGGUCAUGCCGUUGGUAUGUACUGAUAUUAUUGGUUUCUCACCUUCUAAAGAACCGUAAUGCCAUUAAUUUGGUGUCACGGGGAAUUAGGACUGUUACCUUGAAAAAAUUAGAGUGUUUAAAGCAGGCUUACGCUUGAAUACAUUAGCAUGGAAUAAUGAAAUAGGACAUCCGAUUCUAUUUUGUUGGUUUCUAGGAUCGAUGUAAUGAUUAAUAGGGAUAGUUGGGGGCAUUAGUAUUCAAUUGUCAGAGGUGAAAUUCUUGGAUUUAUUGAAGACUAACUACUGCGAAAGCAUUUGCCAAGGAUGUUUUCAUUAAUCAAGAACGAAAGUUAGGGGAUCGAAGACGAUCAGAUACCGUCGUAGUCUUAACCAUAAACUAUGCCGACUAGGGAU